rnacentral:rRNA from 1 species
CCUACGGGUGGCUGCAGUGGGGAAUAUUGGGCAAUGGGCGCAAGCCUGACCCAGCAACGCCGCGUGAAGGAAGAAGGCUUUCGGGUUGUAAACUUCUUUUCUCAGGGACGAAGCAAGUGACGGUACCUGAGGAAGAAGCUACGGCUAACUACGUGCCAGCAGCCGCGGUUAUACGUAGGUGGCAAGCGUUAUCCGGAGUUACUGGGUGUAAAGGGCGUGGAGGCGGGAAAGCAAGUCAGGUGUGAAAACCAUGGGCUGAACCUGUGGCCUGCAGUUGAAACUGUUGUUCUUGAGUACUGGAGAGGCAGGCGGAAUGCCUGGUGUAGCGGUGAAAUGCGUAGAUAUUAGGCGGAACACCAGUGGCGAAGGCGGUCUGCUGGACAGCAACUGACGCUGAGGCGCGAAAGCGUGGGGAGCGAACAGGAUUAGAUACCCGGGUAGUC